rnacentral:lncRNA from 1 species
UGUGAAGGGCAAUAUUCCAAGGAUCAUGAACACCAUGUGAACCUGUUGAAACAACAUUGAAAUUCUGUGAAAGGCCUUGAGCCCUCCUGAGACUCUUUGGUAGGUUCUGAAGCCCACUGACUCUGGAAUAAAAACCUGAGCCACUCUGAUACCCUGAGUGUCACUAAGGCAGUAACAUAUGCCCUGAUAAUCAGUGUAACCUGGGAAGACUACAGCUUCACUGAGUGCCUCGGAAGGCAAGACAAGAAUAAGACAAUGCAGAAGGCCCUGGGCACAAUUGUACCCUGGGGAAUGCCCUAUGACUCAGUAAUAAUCUGGUCUGACCCUGAGCAACACUGUGGCUCUGGGAAUGGUAAUGAACUACACUGACAAACUGGAAAAGUGCUGAGAUUUACUGAGACAAGGGAAAAACUCUGUGCCUUUGGGGAGCUAUAUAAACCAUGGUAAGACUCGGGGAAUAGCACUGAAUGUCAUUGAGACAAUGCAAAAGGCCUUGGGAAAAACUGAGAGCCUGGUAAUUGCCAUGAGUUCCACAGAGGCCCUGGGCAAGGUCUUGGUCUGUUUGAUGAAGUGGGGAACAUCCAUACCACACUGAAAUAUGGUUAAUGUCUGAGAGCACAACUGAAUGCAGGAGGAAAGAAGCAGAACACUAAGACUCUGGAGGGACAGGCCAAGCAUGACUAUGAAAUGAGAAGACCAGGAAAUGCUCUGAGGACCUGGAUCAGGACCCACAACUCACUGAAUUUGUACCAGAGUCCAUUAGACUACUUAGUGAUCUGCAAAAGCCCUGAAGUCCUCUGAUACACUGGGAAACCACUGAGCACCAAUUGAAAACCAAUGAGGGACCUGAGUGCCAAGAGACACUUUGAAGGCCUUUGAGUCACAAACUCAGGGAAAGUGUAUGAAGACCCCAGAAAUUAAAUGAACAGCCAUGAUUCACAUGGAAAUCAAGGAAACUGUUUGGAAAACUACAGACACAGAAUGGAAGGCACUGAACCCUUCUAAGGAACACAGGAAUCCAGGAGUUUCAUUAUUCAUCUAGAAAAGCACUGAGACACAAGCAACAUUAGGAAACAUCCACAACCCAACUUACAUACUGGUAGAGGAUAUGAUGUCCACUGACAAAUUAUUAAAGGGCUUUAGCUUCACAGAG